rnacentral:lncRNA from 1 species
CUUUUCUCUCACUCAACUGUAGCAGAAGGAGCCAGUCGCUGCUAAAAUAUCUCAUUUAUUCUCCAGGCUGCACUGGCUGAAAACUUCAUUCUUUCUGUCACUAUCGAGGAACCAUCAUCUAGGAAGAUGGCCAAAACUCUUGGCAAAAUGGUGAUCAACUUUUUAGCAAAAAAUUUGGAGAAUGUUUUUGGAAGGCAUUCAUUUCUUCAUUUCCUCCACAAGGCCCUGGGAUACACAGUAGAAUAUGGAUCUCAGAGGACAAAAGGACACAUAUAUACAGAUUGGAUGAACAAUGCUUCUGCACUGAGAAAAAAGCUGCAAAGCCAGGUCUGGUGAUCUGUCGCUGAGCACCGCCAGUACAGUGUUGGGAGCACAGCAGAGUUCCUCUCCAGCCAGUGAGCCUUCUGCUUAUUCGUCUUUUUCCGACUGGGGAAAGGGUCGAGGUGACCAACCUGUUCUUCUCUCCUAAGAUUUCUCCAGUUUCAGCACAGACAGUGAAGCAUCUCCUCCCAUUUCUCAGAGAACCAUGGCAGUUGGCCACCCUAACUUCCCUUUCCAGCAAAACCCAACACAAUUCAUUUAAAAAGCACCCCACGCCCACAUUUUGAAAACAACUGUCCCCAUCAUGUUUGUAAUACAUUCCAGAAAAAAAAAAUUGUUUUAAUAUGCUCAACUUAAAACACAUUGAAGACCAGAAUGGAAAUUGCGUGAAUAGUAUGUCAGAAAAGCCUCGUGGCUGGAAGGCUCAUUUGCAUUGGCAUUUACAAUGGAGAAAAUUUACAUAUUACUUGUGAAAUUAAAGACUCUUUUAAAAAG